rnacentral:piRNA from 1 species
UGAAUACUUCGGGCCCUAAAUGGCUGGGAU